rnacentral:rRNA from 1 species
UACGAGGGGGGCAAGCGUUGUUCGGAUUUACUGGGCGUAAAGGGUGUGCAGGCGGCACUCCAAGUCAAGCGUGUAAUCUCGCAGCCUAACUGCGUGUUUGCGUUUGAAACUGGAGAGCUAGAGGCUGGAAGAGAGGAGUGGAAUUCUCGGAGUAGCGGUAAAAUGCGUAGAUCUCGAGAGGAACACCAGUGGCGAAGGCGGCUCCUUGGUCCAAGUCUGACGCUCAUACACGAAAGCGUGGGGAGCAAACAGG